rnacentral:rRNA from 1 species
UACGUAGGGCGCAAGCGUUGUCCGGAAUUAUUGGGCGUAAAGAGCUCGUAGGCGGUCUGUCGCGUCUGCCGUGAAAACCCGAGGCUUAACCUCGUGGCUUGCGGUGGAUACGGGCAGACUAGAGGUAGGUAGGGGAGAAUGGAAUUCCCGGUGUAGCGGUGAAAUGCGCAGAUAUCGGGAGGAACACCGGUGGCGAAGGCGGUUCUCUGGGCCUUACCUGACGCUGAGGAGCGAAGCCAGGGGAGCAAACGGG